rnacentral:lncRNA from 1 species
ACUUGUGCCCAGAGUUUGAUUUUCCACAGACCAGGUAGAGGCCAAGAGCCUCUCACAGACUCUGCAGCAGGGUUGCUAUGAUUAACUCUUAAGUACUCCACAACUACACGCUUUUGAAACUGGCGUUGGCAUAGCGUUAGUUCUGUGCAGGGCGGACGCAGCAGGACAGAAUCUCCCUGGGCAUCUUUUCGGAGCAUCAAUUUUACUGCAAAAUUUUGAAAAAACAAAUUUAAUUGAUUUCCAAGGUUUGUCAAGGAGGACAGAAACUCAGAGCACCCUGCACUUGGGGAUCGGCACUAGGAGCUGCUCUCUGGAUGGGGAGAUGGGAGCUAGCAGCUCACAAUGGGGUCACAAGACAGGAGUGUUAUUGGGAGAAUCCUGUUUUGUUGACAAAUACUGAGAUCAUCCAACUCACCAGGCAAAGUUGACUUGUGUAAGUGAUCUUCAGAUAUGAAAAGUGUGGAACCCAGCUGCUCCUCCUCAGAUAGGCGACAUGACAAUUGUAGGCCUGGAGGGAGAUGAGUUGACAACAUCCCUUCCCUAUAACCACUUGUUGGAUCUGAUCUCACAUACACAGACUCACUCCAAAGACUGACCUGGGUGUCUGCUUCUCAGCUUCAUUAACAGUGGGUGCUCACAAGUCUAGUGGAGAGAAUGUCUGAGAAGAGGAGGACCUUGACUGCUCCUGAACCGGAGACCUCAGAACCAUGGUGCUCUCCUGUCCAGGCUGAACACUAAUGCUCUUGAGAGUCACAUUGAAGAAAGCCAACAUUUUUAAAUCUAAUGGAUACAUUCAUUUUGUGGUAUGUGAUGUUUAGAAAGAGGGAGCUAAAGUUAGUGGUCAUGAGCUAAAUACCCUGUGAGUAGUAACAGGAUCUUCUACACUGUAGCUGCUUCCAGUGUGAGCCAGACAAAUGUACUGAAUAUAGGUAAGUACUGCUCAGUUUUCUCCAUGAGCUUCAUCCUCAGGGCCACGUUUCUUAUUCUGACAACACUUAGGGAUGCUUUCCUGGUAGGAAUACUGCUGUUCUUAAUUGCAUACAUGGUGACUCUCUUAUUCAGGCCUCAGAGGUGAUCCCACCACCUUCACAGCAAUGGUCCUUCCCCAGGAGCUUCCCCUGAGAAACGGGCCAUCCAGACCAUACUGCUGCUGAAUAAUGUCUCAUUGGAAAUCUCAACAUUCUUCAUUUAGAACACCACCGCCAAUAUCUACCAUAUGCCGGGAUUAUUGUGCAGGGUAAUUUUUAUUAUUACUUGAAUGUAUAUUUAUAUACUGCAGGAACUAUACAUGUUUAUGGCUAGAAUUACUGUUUUUCCUUAAUAUUAAGAUAGUAUUGGUAGAUUUAAUUAUCUGAAUUUAGUCAUUUGGCUCCAGUCAAAAUGGUUUCUCCUUAGCAGUACUCUGACUUUGUAAAAGUAAUCACAUUUGGAUUCUGUUUCCUCCAGUAGUUUUUAAAAUGAUUUUUUUGAUUAUUCAUAUAACUUUUUUUUAAUGAUCUUUUAAAAACUAGUAUGUGGUUAUAUAUUACUUGUUACACUUUUUGUUUUCUUUAUUUUUUGGUUGGUUACACCUUAAAUGAUUAUUUCUAUUGCCUUUUAAUGUUACUUAGAAAAUAUCACAUGUAAGACUUUUGCUUUUAUAAAGUUAGUAAUACAUUUUCAAGCCUAAACUCUUGAAAUUUUAAUAAUUUCUAUGAUAUUUGAAAAUUAUUUUUAUCUUCUUUUGAGUGCUAAAAGAUAAUAUUUGUCUACCUGAUUAACUAGCACAACUUUUAAAAAGUUAUUUAGCACUCUUUAUAUUCAUUCAUUUGUUUU